rnacentral:rRNA from 1 species
ACGGGAGGCAGCAGUGAGGAAUAUUGGUCAAUGGGCGGAAGCCUGAACCAGCCAAGUCGCGUGAAGGAUGAAGGUAUUAUGUAUUGUAAACUUCUUUAGCAGCAGAGUAAUAAGGGGGUCGUGACCUCCGAUGCAAGUAUGCUGAGAAUAAGGAUCGGCUAACUCCGUGCCAGCAGCCGCGGUAAUACGGAGGAUCCGAGCGUUAUCCGGAUUUAUUGGGUUUAAAGGGUGCGCAGGCGGGCUGUUAAGUCAGCGGUGAAAUCUCCGGGCUCAACUCGGAAACUGCCGUUGAUACUGGCGGUCUUGAUUCAUGUCGAGGAUGGCGGAAUGCAGCGUGUAGCGGUGAAAUGCUUAGAUACGCUGCAGAACUCCGAUUGCGAAGGCAGCUGUCCAGAGAUGCAAUGACGCUCAGGCACGAAAGCAUGGGGAUCGAACAGGAUUAGAUACCCUGGUA